ACAAGUUAGGAACAUACAAAGGAACUUCAUAUAGUAAGAAACUAGCAAUACACAUCAUUGUUAAUAUAUAUACUAUCAAAUAUCAUGAUGAAUAAGAACUUUAGACUUACACUACAACAAAAGCACUGAUUAGCAGCACCUUAUUAAUAGCAAUCUUAGAAAGAUGCUGUUGUUUUUAUCAUAUAACAGCGCUUUAAUCUUAAACGCUACUAAAUAAUGCAUAAUAAAAAUACCUUAAUUUCCAUCUUAUUAUAACACAGCGCUUUUCCACUCAACGCAAUUAAUCUGCUGUUGAUAAGACUUUUUUUUUUUUUUUUAAAAAAAAAAAAAAAAAAAAAGAAAAGGAAAAAAAAAAUGCAAUCACCCACUUCCCACACUAUUACUUUGUAUACUCCACGAUUUCACUACUGCAGUUCCCUAAAAUUUUUACUUUUUCCACUUUCACUGAAUUCCCAGUUCUCUUAGCACCAAAUCGAGUUUCGAUCGUUUAAGGGUUUCGAAGGUUUUUCUUAAUAAACUCCUCGCCACUUCCAUUAUGCUGGUUUAAAUCCUUAUCCACUAAGAAGAAUGUUAUCUCACUUAUUGGACUUGAAAUAUCAUGGUUGAUCCUAUUAUCACCUUCAGGUUCAUAUUUCUAUUUAUAUUUUUUUGUCAUUAAUUUCUUAAUGCUCUCUACCUAAUUUGAUCUUGUUGCCCGAAGUUGAUUACCUUCUCGAAGUUCUAUAUUUGAUAUAAUGUGAUCAUCUUUUAACAAGACUUUUAGAUGAUUUAAAGCUUUAUAAUCUGCAGGAAGAACAAUAACGAACCUUGCAUGUGGCCUGGAGUACUUUCAUUAUUGGAACAAUUCAAAUUACAAUCAAGACUAAAUUGAUGAAGUCAGUACUCAAGGCGCAUCGUGUUCUUCUCAUGUAAAUGUUAUGGUGGAUGAUUUUGUACUAUGAUCUUCAAAUUUUAAUAUGUUGAUUUAAAGUUAAAAGUAGAUAAUUUGUAAAUGUAUUUUUUUUCCUUUUUAUUUUUUGUGUUGUGCUUAUUGUAUAUCAAAUUUAUUAGACACCGAGUUGUUUGUUUGAUAUGAAAAAAAAAAAAAAUUAUAUUGGUUUUAUUGCGUAUAAUAUUCAAUUAUUAAAUUGAGCUCUAUAAUGGUUUCUUUUAGCCUUUUUUUUUUAUUAUAUAUAUAAUGCUACAAAAAAUAUGAAGCAUGCUUAGGAAAAAGAAAAAAUCCAAAAAAAAAAAAGAAAAAAUCAAAUUAAUAUUGAUUUUUAGCUAAAUGCCCUUAAAUGAGCAAUAAUAACGCUUAUUUAUCUAACGCUGCUAAAUAUGCAAACAUUGAUAGCGCUUAUUUAAAGCGCUGUAAUUCUUUUAGCAGUGCCUAUAAUUUACAACACUUCAUAAGCACUAUCUUUUAUUGAGAAAAAGCGCUAUUAAAAGCUUAUUGUGGUGUAGUGUUAAUUACUACAUAUCAUAAGCAUCAUACAUAUUCUUCCCCCUUUUGUCAUUAUCAAAAAGGGUAUUGUUCCACAUGUUUGUUUUUAGUAAAUUAUACACACGUAAAGUCAUAUGUCACACCUACCACCAUAUAAUAAGUAAACAUAUAAUGGUUAAACACUUGUUAUUCCUAAAAGCCUCAAGGUACUCAC